AAAGGGCAGGAAAUGGCUGCGGCGAGGGUCUCUCCACGCUCUCCGCUGUACCGCCGGCGCACCCAGGACCUGCCUCUCGGUUUCGGAGGACCGCUCAGCCCCCAGGCUUCCUGCCCUGGGGGCGGGAAAGGGAGGGAAGGCUUCUUCCACGGCCUCCAUCACCGGGAACCACACCUGCAGCAACCCGAGGACGAGAGCUUCGGCCGCGUUCGGAUCUUAUUGGCCCCACAUGAUUUCCAAGUGCUCUUUUAUCAACCCAGUCUUUAUUGAUUACCUAUCCUGUUCCAAGUACCGUGCCAGGACUUGGGUGUGCACUGGUGUACAAAAGACAGGGUCCUGCCCCCUUGGAGUUUUAUCACCUGCCAGGAGAAACAGGUGUAAAUUAACCUAGCAAACGUCCAGUUACAGCCCAAAGUGCUCUGAGGAGAAGGAGCAGGGUGAAGUGACAGAAGAUGCAACUGGGGCUAGGGGAAGGGGCCUUCCACCAAUUGAGCUUGGUCGCUGAUAGGGCUCCUUCGCUUAAGAAUAAGUUCUUCCGCUCCCUUCCAGUUCCCUGGAGAAGAGUCCCUGAAGCUGCCACCUCUUUUACAGGGGCCUGCCUCAACUUCAUUCUGGAAGAAUUGCCUAACGGACAAAUAGGUGGCAGGAAGCACUGAGAGGACAGUUAAGCUUAUCAUCAGGACUGCCCUUACCUAUAAAGCUGAAAACCCCCAAGCCUUGAAGGAAAAUGUUAAACACCAGCUGCCAGUCUUUUGGUUGUACAACAAGAAGGCCUGGACAACGAGAACUCUUUCUGGAUCAGUUCCAUUGAUGUUUUGUCCCUGAAGUCGGGAAGUACCUUGCCACUAAAGGUCUGCCUUUCAAGGUUCUUUUGAUAUUGAAGGAUGCCCCUCGGUUAUCUAGAACCCCAUGAGUUCAACACUGAAGGCAUCAAAGUGGUCUACUUGCCCCCAAACACAUCUCUAAUCCAGCCUCUAGAUAAGGGGGUCAUAAGGACCUUUAAUGCCCAUUAUAUAUGGUACUCUUUGGAAAAGAUUGUCAAUGCUAUGAAAGAGAACCCUGAUAGAACAUCAAGAAAGUCUGGAAGGAUUACACUGUUGAAGAUGCCACAUUGUUACAGGAAAAGCUAUUAAAGUCAUCAAUCUCAAAACAACAAGUUUCUGCUGGAGAAAACUGUGUUCAGAUGUUGUGCAUAACUUCACAGGAUUUACAGCAGAGUCAAUCAAGAAAAUCAUGAAAGAGAUUGAGCAUAUGGCAAAAAGGUGGGUGAGGGGUGUGUGUGAAGCGUCUCAACAUAUGGAUCUUGGAGAAAUCAAGAGCUAAUAGAUGCCACUCCAGAGGGAUUAACAGAAGAUGACAACUUGAUGGAGAUGAGUGCUACUGAACCAGUGCCAGACAAUGAGGAAGAUGUAGAAGAGGCAAUAUCAGAACACAAAUUGAUGUUAGACAAUCUGGCAAAGGGUUUUGGUUACUCAAGAUGACUUUCGACUUCUUUUAUGACAUGACCCUUCUAUGAUGUGGGCACUGAAACUAAGGCAAAUAGUGAAAGAAGGAUUUGUAUUAUACAGAAACAUUUUUAGAGAAAUGAGAAGGCAAAAAUUCAGACAGAAAUUACGAUGUAUUUCUGUAAAGUUACAUUGAGUGUACCUGCCUCUCCUGCCUCCGCUUCCACCUCUUCUGCUUCUAUUAGCCUUGAGAUAGCAAGACCAACUCUCCUUUUCCUCCUUCUCCUCAACCUUUUCAAUGUGAAGACGAUGAGGAUGAAGACCUUUAUGAUGAUCCACCUCCAUUUAAUGAAUACUAAAUAUAUUUUCUCUUCCAUUUGAUAUUCUAAAUAACAUUUUCUUUUCUGUAGCUAUUUUGUUUGUUAUAAGAAUACAGUAUAUAAUAAAUAUAAGAUGCAAAAUUGUGUUAAUCAACAGUUUGCAUUAUCAGUAAG
rnacentral:lncRNA from 1 species